rnacentral:rRNA from 1 species
UCUWUUCCCAGGRAUUAACGGGACUAUACCUGGAGAAUAAGCUCCGGCUAACUCCGUGCCAGCAGCCGCGGUAAUACGGAGGGAGCUAGCGUUGUUCGGAAUUACUGGGCGUAAAGCGCACGUAGGCGGCCAUUCAAGUCAGAGGUGAAAGCCCGGGGCUCAACCCCGGAACUGCCUUUGAAACUAGAUGGCUUGAAUCUUGGAGAGGCGAGUGGAAUUCCGAGUGUAGAGGUGAAAUUCGUAKAUAUUCGGAARAACACCASUGGCGAAGGCGACUCGCUGGACAAGUAUUGACGCUGAGGUGCGAAAGCGUGGGGAGCAAACAGGAUUAAAUACCCUGGUAGUCCACGCCGUAAACGAUGAUAACUAGCUGUCCGGGUUCAUGGAACUUGGGUGGCGCAGCUAACGCAUUAAGUUAUCCCCCUGGGGAGUACGGUCGCAAGAUWAAAACUCAAAUGAAUUGACGGGG